rnacentral:rRNA from 1 species
CCUACGGGAGGCAGCAGUGGGGGAUAUUGCACAAUGGGGGGAACCCUGAUGCAGCGACGCCGCGUGGGUGAAGAAGCGCCUCGGCGCGUAAAGCCCUGUCAGCAGGGAAGAAAAUGACGGUACCUGAAGAAGAAGCCCCGGCUAACUACGUGCCAGCAGCCGCGGUAAUACGUAGGGGGCAAGCGUUAUCCGGAUUUACUGGGUGGAAAGGGGGCGCAGACGGCGAUGCAAGCCAGGAGUGAAAGCCCGGGGCCCAACCCCGGGACUGCUCUUGGAACUGCGUGGCUGGAGUGCAGGAGGGGCAGGCGGAAUGCCUGGUGUAGCGGUGAAAUGCGUAGAUAUCAGGAGGAACACCGGUGGCGAAGGCGGCCUGCUGGACUGCAACUGACGUUGAGGCCCGAAAGCGUGGGGAGCAAACAGGAUUAGAUACCCCAGUAGUC